rnacentral:rRNA from 1 species
GAUGAACGCUGGCGGCGUGCUUAAUACAUGCAAGUCGAACGGAAAGGCCCUGAUCUUGCGGGGUGCUUGAGUGGCGAACGGGUGAGUAACACGCGUGUAAACUGUCCUUGACUUUGGGAUAACUCUUGGAAACUGGGGCUAAUAUCGGAUAGGAGCUCUUGCUGCACGGUGGGGGUUGGAAAGUUUCGGCGGUUGGGGAUGGACUCGCGGCUUAUUCGCUAGUUGGUGAAGUAGUGGAUUACCAAGGUUUCGACGGGUAGCCGGCCUGAGAGGGUGACCGGCGACAAGGGUACUAAGAGACGGCCCAGACGCGUACGGUAGGCAACGGUGGGGAGUAUUGCGCAGUGGGCGGGAGCCAGAGACGACGGCGCCGCGUGCGUAAUGACGGCCUUCGAGUUGUGAACCGCUGUCUCCUGAGACGAGGCGUGAUUGACGGUAAUUAGUAAGAAAGCACCGGCUAACUACGUG